UGGCCUGAAUUUGAAGAAGUACAAGUUUGUACAGGCAUGAAGAUUAAGGCAGUUGGAAUCCUGUGCUUGCGGCUAAGAGAAGUUGUGGAGUUCCCUGGAGGCCUCCAAGGAGUGAGCCAUCCUAAAUCACAAAGUUACUGAACAUUAGAGUCGUUUCCCCUUUUUGGCUGUCAUGAAUAAUGCGGCUGAGGACACUUGCAUGUCUCCACAACUGCGUGUACGCACUCUCCACACAGCAAUCAGAGUGGACCUUCCAAAACAGAGAAUCAGACCACAUCCCUCCUUAGUACAGUUCUCCAGUGGCUUCCCGUCUCACUAAGAAUGGAGCCUAACCUCCUUACCCUAGCCUGCAGCGCCCUGCCUGACCUGACCUCUGCCGACAUGUUUCACUUCAUCUCGUGCUACUUCUCUCACUUGCGCCUUCACCUGUGUUGAUCUUGUUGUUCUCCAACCAGGAGAGUUUGUUCUGCCCUCGGGGUUCGUAUAUAAGCUAUUCCAUUUGCCUAUGAUGUCCUUCCCUGUCUUCGUUUGGCUCACUGCUUCUCAUUCAGGUCUCUUCUCACAGGUCCUUCAUGUAGAGAAGCCUUCCAUGGCCACCCUAUCUAAAAUAGCAGCCAUGCUUCUCACACUAUUAGACUUACUGUGUUUCGUUUUCCACUAGCACCUACAACUGAAUGAUCUGAAAUCACCUUACUUAUUGUUUGUUGACUGUCUCCCUAUCAGAAUGCAAGCACAAUGAGGCUUUCUCUCCAAUACAGUCACAUUGGGAAUUAGAGUUUCAACGUAUGAAUUUUGGGAGAACACAGUUCAGUCCAGAACACCUUGCCCCUUGCUUUGACCAAUAGAAUGCUGCAGAAGUGAUGAUCUGUGACUUCUAACAAGACCUCAAGAAGCUUUAGCAGCUUCAUCUCUUGCCUUCUUUGGAAUCAAUAUGUGCAGAAGCCUGAGCUAGCCUGCUGGAGAGAUACAGAGAACAGAAACACCCUGAUCAUUAACCCCAGCUGACUGCCCAUUGAUUGCAACUGGGAGUAAGCCUAGUUGACACCACGUGGAGCAGAGAUGAGUUGUCCCAGCUGAGCCCUGCACAAAUUGCUGAUCCUAGAAUUGUGAACCAAUAAAUGAUGUUAUUUUAAGCCACAAA
rnacentral:lncRNA from 1 species